GACCUGGUGGCGUAACUGGUAACGCGCGCAUUGUAGUUCUUCUCAAUAUGCAUUGCGAGUCCCUCGUUCGAUUCGAGGUCGUCG